rnacentral:pre_miRNA from 1 species
AGUGAAAUUGCUGGAUUAAAUGGAAACCUAUGUUUAACUUUUUGAGAAACCAUCAACUGUUUUCCAAAGUGGGUACAUCCUUUUACAUUCCCACCAGCAAA